rnacentral:rRNA from 1 species
GAUGAACGCUGGCGGCGUGCCUAAUACAUGCAAGUCGAGCGAACGGACGAGAAGCUUGCUUCUCUGAUGUUUGCGGCGGACGGGUGAGUAACACGUGGAUAACCUACCUAUAAGACUGGGAUAACUUCGGGAAACCGGAGCUAAUACCGGAUAAUAUUUUGAAACGCAUGGUUCAAAAGUGAAAGACGGUCUUGCUGUCACUUAUAGAUGGAUCCGCGCUGCAUUAGCUAGUUGGUAAGGUAACGGCUUACCAAGGCAACGAUGCAUAGCCGACCUGAGAGGGUGAUCGGCCACACUGGAACUGAGACACGGUCCAGACUCCUACGGGAGGCAGCAGUAGGGAAUCUUCCGCAAUGGGCGAAAGCCUGACGGAGCAACGCCGCGUGAGUGAUGAAGGUCUUCGGAUCGUAAAACUCUGUUAUUAGGGAAGAACAUAUGUGUAAGUAACUGUGCACAUCUUGACGGUACCUAAUCAGAAAGCCACGGCUAACUACGUG